GACGAACGCUGGCGGCGUGCUUAACACAUGCAAGUCGAACGGUGAAGCGCCUUCCUUUUUGGUGGGUGUGGAUGAGUGGCGAACGGGUGAGUAACACGUUAGUAACCUGCCCCCUUCUUCUGGAUAACCGCAUGAAAGUGUGGCUAAUACGGGAUAUUCUGGGUCUGUCGCAUGAUGGGUCUGGGAAAGAUAUUGUUUCGGUGGGGGAUGGGCUCGCGGCCUAUCAGCUUGUUGGUGGGGUGAUGGCCUACCAAGGCGGUGAGGGGUAGCCGGCCUGAGAGGGUGGACGGUCACACUGGGACUGAGACACGGCCCAGACUCCUACGGGAGGCAGCAGUGGGGAAUAGUGCACAAUGGGCGGAAGCCUGAUGCAGCGACGCCGCGUGAGGGAUGGAGGCCUGCGGGUUGUGAACCUCUUUCGCCAGUGAAGCAGGCCUGCCUCGUUUGUGGGUGGGUUGACGGUAGCUGGAUAAGAAGCGCCGGCUAACUACGUG
rnacentral:rRNA from 1 species